UAUAGGCAUAGAACUGGAAAUUUACGUAGUCUAUGAGAUGCCCAUAUUUUCUCCACAGAGCCAAGUAAUGUGAUUGCACAGAAUCGUCAUCAUAUGGUGCGAUGGAUGCAAACUUCACUACUCCGUGUUGUUUAAGGUAAAACAGAAGCUUCCCAAUGCACUCAGCAAACGUAUUAGGAUCUGUCUUGAAGUGCUCAUAGUCAAUAUCAAUUCCAUCUAAAUCAUACAAUCUUGCUAUCUCUGUUAUUGAAUGAAAAGCAUUUCUAACCCAGGAGUUGAUUGAUUCAGGGCUGAAGUACACAUAUUGGUCUUUUAUUGUAUCACCUCCAAGACUCAUAGCUACCUUGAUAUUUGAACGCUGAGCUUUGAUGGAUUUUACAUGAGAAGGGGUGAGGUUUUGUUCGUCCCAGUACACUCUGAAGGCU
rnacentral:lncRNA from 1 species